rnacentral:rRNA from 1 species
UUAAUAACUCGUGCCAACGGAUAUAUCAACUCUUACAUCAAUGAAGAAUGUCGUGAAAUGUGUUAUUUGGCGUGAAAUGCAGAAUCCCGCGAACCAUCAAU